rnacentral:lncRNA from 1 species
CACGAAUUGGGUGGAUAUAUUUGCGUAUAAAGGGAUGCAGAGCUUAAUAGCGCUGGUACCAAUUGAAGGAGCCACAUUCGACUUCUUUGGUGUAACGGGCGUCCUAGUAGAGGGCGUCGCCCUUGAUGGGGAUGAAGAGGGUUUAAUCGGAGAUGAGGCACGAGGCCGAGGAGAAGAUGUUGCUCGGCUUCGAUAUGGCGGGGCGGCUGACGGAGAAGAGAUCGCCGACGGCGACGAGGUUGAAGAAGUCCGGCGCGGCUCUGUAGAAGACGCAUGUAUCUCAUGGGAGUGAGAAUACUUGAAAUCUCAUACGAAGAGGUGGGAUUUGUGUAGAGAUUUUAUAUUUAUAUUAGGGCAUUAAAAUCCAACAAAAUCAAUGACAUUAAAAUCCUUAAAAAUUUCAAUACUAUUAGAUUUAGAUGGAUAUUUAAAAGUUAUAAUUGAAUACCAACAGAUUUUUAAGGACUCUCUCAAAUCUAAAUUGAAUACCUACGGACAUUUAAAAUACAAAAAAAUCUUAUAAAAUCUGAAUAGAUACACCCCCCUAAAUCUUAGUUUAUCCUGUCAUUCUGAUAAAAGGGAUUAGAGCGUCUAUUACAAAUACUGCAAAAAUAUAACAAUUAUACAAAGGGACACGCAAGGAGCCUACGGAGGUAACGUCCAUCACAUUUACUUAAAGUGUCUAUUUCAUUUAAUACUUCAUUAUAAUUAGUAAUUAGUAAUGGUACCGAUAUAUCAUACAAAAUACAAAAGUUUUUGUGUUUAUUAGUGUGAAUAAAUUGCACAACAUUGAAUUAGAAUCUAGUGGUCUUGAAAAAGUAAUCUCUCUUGACUGGUCUAUAUUCAGUUUGGAAUACUAACAUUUUCCAGUUAAAUUAUGUAAACACCUAUUCGGUUAUUUCAACUCAACUUUUCCUCCAUACUAAGAGAUGAUCCUCAGUGAUCACCAAUAUGCAGAAUCAAAAUUUUAAAUUCAAUUUUGACAUGUUUCUAAACGAGUAGACAGCAAAAACACUGAAUAGGAAUAUCAUAGAAAAUAAGUGUUAGAAUUACUUAUGUAGGAUCUAGCGGCAACUUCAAUCAAGAAAGAAAGAUUGAGCCAUUUUUCUUUGAAACAAACGAUGCACACAUCAGUUCCAGUUUUCCUCUUACAUUCUAGGCCAUAGAGAUGAUAAAUAAAUAAAUCACAUGGCACAAAACCUUACCUUUUUAUCUAAACCUGGCCUUCUUAGGGAGGGUGCCUCCUCCUCCUGGUCGUCUUGCCGGUGGCCGAGAUUUCCCGAAAGCCUUCAUUUUCCUCCUUUUCCUGUCAUCCUCACUAUCUGAUCAUUUCCCUUCUCUUUAUCUGCGUUACUAGCUUCCCUUUCCAACUCGUCCCAGGUUUUCCCUUCAUCUUCCUCGGACACUUCUUCGGAAUCAUCUUCAUCGCCAUCCUCGGACUCCACUAGUGACUCGCUGUCGUCAUCCUCCUCCUCUGAGGCAGCAGACUCAGAUUGUACAUCUGAAGGGACAUAUCCUUGAUCUGACUCCUGUGAGUUGUCAGAAUCCGAAUCACUAGCCUCCAAGUUCAAAAAUUCCCAUCCACCAUCCUCGAUGAAUUGUUCAGGGUUGUCGGUGAUUGUUUUUAAUAUCUGCCUCCAGUUAAGAUUUAGCCUACUCUCAUAGUACUUGAGAUCUGUUGUAUCCAGCCACUCCUUAAUGCCAUCUAGUGACGAUGUGGGGAUUGAAUCAAUCCGCAUUACAUCUCGCUUGAAGUCCUUGAAUAUAAUGGUCAUGUCAAAGUUUUUCUGACCAAGACCAACUCUCUCCAGGUUAACUAUUUCAAUCUCGCCAAGGGUGAUUACCACAAAGGGCAUUUCAAUGAGCUCAACAAGGCAACUUGAUGUUGGAACUAUGAAUGCAGAUGAUUUAUGUGGCACCCCAUGGAAGCCAAGCUCUCUCAGUGGCUGAUCAAACUCUAAAUCA